rnacentral:lncRNA from 1 species
AGGAUCCCAUCUUAGGAUGUUGGCAUAGUCCCUUCGGUCAAACACUGUAAACUAAGAAAAUCAACUACUCUCCUCGCCGAACCAGGGACUUCCCGGAACCCGUGCUCGUACUCCAGCGGACUUACCCACCUUAUUUAUUCUCUCGUUUACCACCCACGCUGUACCAGUUGUUUUGACCAUCUUGAAGAACCAAAGAGGAAAACUGUUCCAGGAGAAAAUUGGGUCCUGAAAGGUUUGAAAAGAUGUGUUGUUUCCAUAUAACUUAAUCAGAGGCAGAAACUUUCACAGUGUUAGUGAGUUUGCACAUUUCAAGUGCACAGUUGCCCCCGGGGGCAUUCGAUGCUUGACUGUGGUAAUAAAUCCCCUCUACGCAGUGUAGGCUUUGCUGCUCUGCGUCCAGGAUGGACAAAGAACAAUGCGUACGUAUUUCUUA